UCACUUUUAACAACGGAUCUCUUGGCUCUUGCAUUGAUGAAGAACAUAGCGAAAUGUGAUAAGUAGUGUGAAUUGCAUAAUUUUGUGAAUCAUUGAAUCUUUGAACGCAAAUUGCACUCCCUGAUAUUCCGGGGAGUAUGCCUGUUUGAGGGUCAUU
rnacentral:rRNA from 1 species